rnacentral:rRNA from 1 species
UUUAUUUUACCUUGUUGCUUCGGCGGGCCCGCCUUAACUGGCCGCCGGGGGGCUUACGCCCCCGGGCCCGCGCCCGCCGAAGACACCCUCGAACUCUGUCUGAAGAUUGUAGUCUGAGUGAAAAUAUAAAUUAUUUAAAACUUUCAACAACGGAUCUCUUGGUUCCGGCAUCGAUGAAGAACGCAGCGAAAUGCGAUACGUAAUGUGAAUUGCAAAUUCAGUGAAUCAUCGAGUCUUUGAACGCACAUUGCGCCCCCUGGUAUUCCGGGGGGCAUGCCUGUCCGAGCGUCAUUGCUGCCCUCAAGCACGGCUUGUGUGUUGGGCCCCGUCCUCCGAUCCCGGGGGACGGGCCCGAAAGGCAGCGGCGGCACCGCGUCCGGUCCUCGAGCGUAUGGGGCUUUGUCACCCGCUCUGUAGGCCCGGCCGGCGCUUGCCGAUCAACCCAAAUUUUUAUCCAGGUUGACCUCGGAUCAGGUAGGGAUACCCGCUGAACUUAAGCAUAUCA